GGAGAAAAAUCCUGAUCGCCAGCUAAGGCCCCAAAUCUGUGCUUAGUUCGAAAGGAAGUCAAGUUGCAGUGACAGCCAGGAUGUUGGCUUAGAAGCAGCCACCAUUUGAAGAGUGCGUAACAGCUCACUGGUCGAGGAACUUGGCGCCGAUAAUUAUCGGGAAUAAGCAUAGAGCCGAAGCUGCGGGCUCGAAAGAGCGGUAGGAGAGCGUUCCUGGGGCGGUGAAGCGGUUCCGAAAGGGGUCGUGGAGCGCCAGGAAGUGAAUAUGCCGGCUUGAGUAACGAUUAACAGGGUGAGAAUCCCUGUCGCCGUAUACCCAAGGUUUCCUGGGGAAGGUAAAUCCGCCCAGGGUUAGUCGGGACCUAAGGCAAGGCCGAAAGGCGUAGUCGAUGGACAUCAGGUUAAUAUUCCUGAACCGGUGUGGUCAACGGAUUCUUGAGAUCAACGGGACUGUUAGAUGUCCAGGCCGUAAGGCCGAUGUUGGUGGAUAGAGUUCCUAGAAAAGCCACACAUAGCCCGUACC
rnacentral:rRNA from 1 species